CCUACGGGUGGCAGCAGUGAGGAAUAUUGGUCAAUGGACGGGAGCCUGAACCAGCCAAGUAGCGUGAAGGAUGACAGCCCUAUGGGUUGUAAACUUCUUUUAUAAGGGAGUAAAGUGCCACACGUGUGGGGUUUUGAAUGUACCGUAUGAAUAAGCAUCGGCUAAUUCCGUGCCAGCAGCCGCGGUAAUACGGAGGAUUCCAGCGUUAUCCGGAUUUAUUGGGUUUAAAGGGUGCGUAGGCGGUUUCAUAAGUCAGAGGUGAAAUCCCGGCGCUCAACUUUGAACUUGCCUUUGAUACUGUGGGACUUGAGAGUGCUCGCGGUACGUGGAAUGCGUGGUGUAGCGGUGAAAUGCUUAGAUAUCACGCAGAACUCCGAUCGCGAAGGCAUUUUACCGGAGCAAUACUGACGUUGAGGCUCGAAAGCGCGGGUAGCAAACAGGAUUAGAUACCCCUGUAGUC
rnacentral:rRNA from 1 species